rnacentral:rRNA from 1 species
GACGAACGCUGGCGGCGUGCUUAACACAUGCCAGUCGAACGGAAAGGCCCUGCUUUUGUGGGGUGCUCGAGUGGCGAACGGGUGAGUAACACGUGAGUAACCUGCCCUUGACUUUGGGAUAACUUCAGGAAACUGGGGCAAAUACCGGAUAGGAGCUCCUGCUGCAUGGUGGGGGUUGGAAAGUUUCGGCGGUUGGGGAUGGACUCGCGGCUUAUCAGCUUGUUGGUGGGGUAGUGGCUUACCAAGGCUUUGACGGAUAGCCGGCCUGAGAGGGUGACCGGCCACAUUGGGACUGAGAUACGGCCCAGACUCCUACGGGAGGCAGCAGUGGGGAAUAUUGCACAAUGGGCGGAAGCCUGAUGCAGCAACGCCGCGUGCGGGAUGACGGCCUUCGGGUUGUAAACCGCUUUCGCCUGUGACGAAGCGUGAGUGACGGUAAUGGGUAAAGAAGCACCGGCUAACUACGUG